AUUGAACGCUGGCGGCAGGCCUAACACAUGCAAGUCGAGCGGAUGAGUGGAGCUUGCUCCCUGAUUCAGCGGCGGACGGGUGAGUAAUGCCUAGGAAUCUGCCUGGUAGUGGGGGACAACGUUUCGAAAGGAACGCUAAUACCGCAUACGUCCUACGGGAGAAAGUGGGGGAUCUUCGGACCUCACGCUAUCAGAUGAGCCUAGGUCGGAUUAGCUAGUUGGUGAGGUAAAGGCUCACCAAGGCGACGAUCCGUAACUGGUCUGAGAGGAUGAUCAGUCACACUGGAACUGAGACACGGUCCAGACUCCUACGGGAGGCAGCAGUGGGGAAUAUUGGACAAUGGGCGAAAGCCUGGUCCAGCCAUGCCGCGUGUGUGAAGAAGGUCUUCGGAUUGUAAAGCACUUUAAGUUGGGAGGAAGGGCAGUAAGUUAAUACCUUGCUGUUUUGACGUUACCAACAGAAUAAGCACCGGCUAACUUCGUG
rnacentral:rRNA from 1 species